rnacentral:tRNA from 1 species
GUGGGUAUAGCUGAGUAGUAGAGCACAUACUUAGCAUGCAGGAGGUCCUGGAUUCAAUGUCCAGUAUCUUCA